rnacentral:rRNA from 1 species
AUUGAACGCUGGCGGCAGGCCUAACACAUGCAAGUCGAACGAGUGGCGGACGGGUGAGUAAGGUCUGGGAAACUGCCUGAUGGAGGGGGUUAACUACUGGAAACGGUAGCUAAUACCGCAUACCAUCAGAUGUGCCCAGAUGGGUUUGUCCAGUUGGUGGGGUAACGGCUCACCAAGGCGACGAUCCCUAGCUGGUCUGAGAGGAUGACCAGCCACACUGGAACUGAGACACGGUCCAGACUCCUACGGGAGGCAGCAGUGGGGAAUAUUGCACAAUGGGCGCAAUCCUGAUACAGCCAUGCCGCGUGUAUGAAGAAGGCCUUCGGGUUGUAAAGUACUUUAAGCGGGGAGGCGUUACCCGCAGAAGAAGCACCGGCUAACUCCGUGCCAGCAGCCGCGGUAAUAC